GUCUACUGCCACACUGCCUUGAAUGCACCCGAUCCUGUCUGAUCUCGGAAGUUAAGCAGGGCAAGCUCUGGUCAGUACCUGGAUGGGAGACCGCCUGGGAACACCAGGUGCAGUAGGCU